rnacentral:rRNA from 1 species
CCCUUAGAUGUCCGGGGCCGCACGCGCGCUACACUGAAGGAAUCAGCGUGGCUUUCUCCCUGACCCGAAAGGGUUGGGAAACCCGUUGAAUCUCCUUCGUGAUAGGGAUUGGGGCUUGAAAUUGUUCCCCAUGAACGAGGAAUUCCCAGUAAGCGCGAGUCAUAAGCUCGCGUUGAUUACGUCCCUACCCUUUGUACACACCGCCCGUCGCUACUACCGAUUGGGUGUGCUGGUGAAAUGUUCGGAUCGGCCGUUUGUCGCGGUUUCCGCGUCAUGUGGCUGAGAAGUUCAUUAAACCCUCCCACCUAGAGGAAGGAGAAGUCGUAACA